rnacentral:rRNA from 1 species
GCGAAAACUUUACAAUGCGAGCAAUCGUGAUAAGGGAACUCCGAGCGCCUGUAAAAUCAGGCUGUCCGCCAGUGUAAAUAACUGGUGAAGGAAGGGCCGGGCAAGACCGGUGCCAGCCGCCGCGGUAACACCGGCGGCUCGAGUGGUAACCGUUAUUAUUGGGUCUAAAGGGUCUGUAGCCGGCCGGAUAAGUCUCUUGAGAAAUCUGGCAGCUUAACUGUCAGGCCUUCAGGAGAUACUGUCUGGCUCGAGGCCGGGAGAGGUGAGAGGUACUUCAGGGGUAGGGGUGAAAUCUUGUAAUCCUUGAAGGACCACCAGUGGCGAAGGCGUCUCACCAGAACGGACCUGACGGCAAGGGACGAAAGCUAGGGGCACGAACC